UGCUGGGAUUACAGGCAUGAGUGACUAUGCUGGCACAAGCUUACGGCAAUUUGAGACUAAGGCUUAGAGUCCAUUUAAUAAAGUGAUCUAGACUCAUGUAGUUCAUCAGAACAUAGGAGAAAGGAAAAGUCAUUUCAACUCCAGAAGGUGACCUGGAUCCUAUCUAGCACCUCAGGUCUGCCCAUGAAGUGGGCUGGCAUCAUUCUCCAGGGAUUCAUCAGG